rnacentral:rRNA from 1 species
UACGAAGGGGGCUAGCGUUGCUCGGAAUCACUGGGCGUAAAGGGUGCGUAGGCGGGUUUUUAAGUCAGAGGUGAAAUCCUGGAGCUCAACUCCAGAACUGCCUUUGAUACUGAGAGGCUUGAGUCCGGGAGAGGUGAGUGGAACUGCGAGUGUAGAGGUGAAAUUCGUAGAUAUUCGCAAGAACACCAGUGGCGAAGGCGACUCACUGGCCCGAUACUGACGCUGAGGUGCGAAAGCGUGGGGAGCAAACAGG